UAACGGAUUUCUUGUGUUUGGUACUAAAGCCUAACAGAGGACACAAUCAUAUACUAGUAUAGGCAACUUGCAUAUACAAAUAGCUUAAAAUAUCAAAUAAGUAUUGAAGACACUAAACUUCAAAUUAUUGUCUAGAUACAAUGUAAAAUCGCGAAAUGUAUUGCAAGUUUCGAAACCCGACCUUCCCCUUAAGUGACUCAAAAGUCGACCACAUAAACUUAAACCCCGAAACCAACAACAGUCUACUAGGGCGACUAAUUGGCAUAAAUCAAGGAAACACUGUCCGCCAUCUUAAAUCAUGUCUGCCGACAACCUCCAACAUUCUGUGCAAACAUGGCGACC
rnacentral:lncRNA from 1 species